UGGGGAAUUUUGGGCAAUGGGGGAGACCCUGACCCAGCGACGCCGCGUGAGGGAAGACGGCCUUCGGGUUGUAAACCUCUUUUGUACGGGAAGAUAAUGACGGUACUGUACGAAUAAGUCCCGGCUAACUACGUGCCAGCAGCCGCGGUAAUACGUAGGGGACGAGCGUUGUCCGGAAUUACUGGGCGUAAAGGGCGCGCAGGCUNGCGUUACAAGUCAGCUGUUAAAAUCAUGGGCUUACCCCAUGAGUGCGGUUGAAACUGUAGUGCUUGAGUACUGUAGAGGCAAGCGGAAUUCCCAGUGUAGCGGUGAAAUGCGUAGAUAUUGGGAGGAACACCGGUGGCGUAGGCGGCUUGCUGGACAGUAACUGACGCUGAGGCGCGAAAGCCAGGGGAGCAA
rnacentral:rRNA from 1 species